rnacentral:rRNA from 1 species
GACGAACGCUGGCGGCGUGCCUAACACAUGCAAGUCGAACGAGGUCCAAGGGAGCUUGCUCCCUGAAGACCUAGUGGCGAACGGGUGAGUAACACGUGAGAAACCUGCCCUCGAGUGGGGAAUAACCCGGGGAAACCCGGGCUAAUACCGCAUACGCUCAACUGGUCGCAUGGCCGGAGGAGGCAAGGUUUUCGUGCAAGGAGGGUCUCGCGGCCUAUCAGCUUGUUGGCGGGGUAACGGCCCACCAAGGCUACGACGGGUAGCUGGUUGGAGAGAACGAUCAGCCACACUGGGACUGAGACACGGCCCAGACUCCUACGGGAGGCAGCAGUGGGGAAUCUUGCGCAAUGGGCGAAAGCCUGACGCAGCAACGCCGCGUGCGGGAUGACGGCCUUCGUGGUUGUAAACCGCUUUCAGCAGGGACGAAAAUGACGGUACCUGCAGAAGAAGCUCCGGCUAACUACGUGCCAGCCGCCGCGGUAA